UACGUAGGCAGCAAGCGUUGUUCGGAGUUACUGGGCGUAAAGGGUGUGUAGGCGGUUAUUUAAGUUUGGUGUGAAAUCUCCCGGCUCAACCGGGAGGGUGCGCCGAAUACUGAAUGACUUGGAGUGCGGGAGAGGAAAGUGGAAUUCCUGGUGUAGCGGUGAAAUGCGUAGAAAUCAGGAGGAACACCGGUGGUGUAGACGGCUUUCUGGACCGUAACUGACGCUGAGACACGAAAGCGUGGGUAGCAAACAGG
rnacentral:rRNA from 1 species